CACAUACUUUCAUAUUAUAUAAGAAUUUACUAAUGAAAAGAAACUUUAUAGGCAAUUAGAAAAGCAACAGGAAGAAAUUACGGGAUCAAGAUAUCAGAAUAAGCACAAUAUAUUUGAUAGCUAUUAUCUAACUGACAUGAAAAUUUUUAAUUCACUCCAUGUCAAUUUUAAUUAUAAUAGCAGAAUAUGAUAGUUCUUCGACUAUUAAAAUUUGGGCACUCGAGCGAUAUAUAAAAUCAAACUUCAAACUCAAAAACGCUAAACAUGCCGCUCACGAUUAAAAAUAAAUAAAUUUUUUGAUCAACUAUUCAUACCCAAAUAAUGCAUGAAAUUGUUUAAACGAUUUCAUUCAUGCUUGUUCGUAGUAAAAUUUAUAAGGAUAAGAGUACAUGACUGAUAAGAACCUGUAUGAUGAACUGAAUCGAAUAUAGAAGCAAAACACCAUCACCGAAA
rnacentral:lncRNA from 1 species